rnacentral:rRNA from 1 species
CAAGUCGAGCGAGAUUUUUCAGCAAUGGAAAUGACAGCGGCGAAAGGGAGAGUAACAGGUAGAUACGUACCCAAGGGUUCGGGAUAGCCACGCGAAAGUGUGAGUAAUACCGAAUGAUGUCUCAGGACUAAAGAUUUAUUGCCCUUGGAGCGGUCUGCUUCCUAUUAGGUUGUUGGUGGGGUAAUGGCCUACCAAGCCAAAGAUGGGUAGCGGGUGUGAGAGCACGACCCGCCUCACUGGGACUGAGAUACUGCCCAGACACCUACGGGUGGCUGCAGUCGAGAAUCUUCCGCAAUGGACGAAAGUCUGACGGAGCGACGCCGCGUGAUGGACGAAGGCCCUCGGGUUGUAAACAUCUGUCGUAGGGGAGGAAAUUUUGACCGAUCCUAGGAGGAAGCACAGGCUAAACUCGUGCCAGCAGCCGCGGUAAUACGAGUUGUGCAAACGUUAUUCGGAAUCACUGGGCUUAAAGGGUGCGUAGGCGGGCAGGCAGGUCAGAUGUGAAAUCCCACGGCUCAACCGUGGAAUUGCGUUUGAAACCGCAUGUCUUGAGGGGGUCAGAGGAGAGCGGAACUGAUGGUGGAGCGGUGAAAUGCGUUGAUAUCAUCAGGAACACCGGUGGCGAAAGCGGCUCUCUGGGACCUUACUGACGCUGAGGCACGAAAGCCAGGGGAGCGAACGGGAUUAGAUACCCCGGUAGUCCUGGCCAUAAACGAUCUGUACUAGUCCGUGGAGGCCCCCACACCUUCUCGGACGUAGCGAAAGUGUUAAGUACAGCGCCUGGGGAGUAUGGUCGCAAGGCUGAAACUCAAAGGAAUUGACGG